UACGGGAGGCAGCAGGGGGAAUAUUGCACAAUGGGCGAAAGCCUGAUGCAGCUAUGCCGCGUGUAUGAAGAAGGCCUUAGGGUUGUAAAGUACUUUCAUCGGGGAGGAAAAACAAAACUAAUAAUUUUAUUUCUUGACGUUACCCGAAAAAGAAGCACCGGCUAACUCCGUGCCAGCAGCCGCGGUAAUACGGAGGGUGCUAGCGUUAAUCAGAAUUACUGGGCGUAAAGAGCACGUAGGUGGUUUUUUUAAGUCAGAUGUGAAAUCCCUGGGCUUAACCUAGGAACUGCAUUUUGAAACUGAAAUACUAGAGUAUCGUAGAGGGAGGUAGAAUUCUAGGUGUAGCGGUGAAAUGCGUAGAUAUCUGGAGGAAUACCUGUGGCGAAAGCGGCCUCCUAAACGAAUACUGACACUGAGGGUGCGAAAAGCGUGGGGAGCAAAACAGGGAUUAGAUACC
rnacentral:rRNA from 1 species